UGUUUCUAAAUUAGAUUAUUAACUGGCUACUUGUGAAACAAUUCGGUCGUACACAUCAUCUCUCAACUCCAGUCUUGCAUCUCAAGUUGCUAAUCGGACUGUAAACAA